rnacentral:tRNA from 1 species
GGCCUUGGGGUGUCAGCACGUGGGGUUGCAAACCCUAAAACGCAGGUUAACGCCUGCCGGGGCUU